UUGUUUUAGAAUUAAUUAAAAAUAAUUUCUGGUCCAUGAAUAAUUAAAUAGCCGCAGGGUUUCUGUGCUAAGGUAGCAUAAUCAAUUGUUUAUUAAUUGUAAACUAGAAUGAAAGAAAAUAUAAUUUUUAUCUUUAUUAUUUUUAUAAUUUGAAUUUUAAUUUUAUGUAAAAAUGCAUAAAUAAUUAAUAGGGACAAGAAGACCCUAUAAAGCUUUAUAUGAUAUAAUAAAAUAUUUUUUUAUUUUGUAUUGAAUUGGGGAAAUUUAUUAUAAUUUAAAAUUAUAAUAUUAUUAAAAAUAAUUUAUAUUAAGAUAUGAGAUCCAAAAUUUUUGAGAAUAUGAAUAAGUUACUUUAGGGAUAACAGGAUAAUACAAUUUAGAGAGUACAAAUUAAAAAAUUGGAUUAUUACCUCGAUGUUGGAUUAAUAAUAUAUCUAUGGAGAAGAAAUUUUAUGAUAUUUGAUUGUUCGGCAAUUAAAAUAUUACA
rnacentral:rRNA from 1 species